UUGCAUGUGGAAAUGCCUGUUUCUCAUUCCCGUGGGGGCAGGAAAACAUAACAUGCUAUGUUAAAAAAAUAAAAUAAGGAGUUCUUUAGGCUACCAACCAUACAGUAAAAGUUAUGUAGUAGUAUAUUUCCCCUGACUCA